AAGCCACAUUAAGUCAAUACAUGUGAACAUCUAAUGGUUUACAUAGUAUUCUGUUUUUAUAUUUAUAUAUUAACAACAUAAUGAAUAAACAAAAAAAAAUAAACAACAAGCACUAAUAACUGUAAAUGACAUCCAAAAAAAAAAAUAUGGUGACACAUUGUUUGUUUAAUUGAACUAAAUUUUUUCUCCUUUUUAUACAUGUUACUAAACAAAAAAAAUAAAUUUGAUAUGGUUAUGUAUUUACAUGUAAAGCUGCAGAAAUACAAUCAUCACAGACUUACAAUACAUGACAGUAGUAAAGGGUUAUUUUCAUAUAACCUUUACUAUGCCAAAUAGCUCAAUUUAAGCUUUCUGUACUCCUUUCAAAUGCCAACAUUCUGUUUAAGGCUUGGAAAUGGUUGCCUAUAUUGUCUAUUCUGUAACAAUGCAGUUCACGUUACAGGCUAUAAAUAAUUCAAAGUUUUUCAUAUGUUUCAACUAAAGCCUGCAAAUAUUUUUCAUUGUAAAAUCCCUUUUUUAUUUCACAUUCUACCCGAAACUUGCUCCGUUUCAAUCCUAAUAAACGGCUGAUGUGGAUAUCUCCAAUAAAGCUUUAAAAAGUAAUUAUAGGUUUUUAUUAUACUUGUGUGAAAAUUUUUU
rnacentral:lncRNA from 1 species